CUGCAACUCGCCUGCAUGAAGUCGGAAUUGCUAGUAAUCGCAGAUCAGCAUGCUGCGGUGAAUACGUUCCCGGGCCUUGUACACACCGCCCGUCACACCAUGGGAGUCGGUAACACCCGAAGUCGGUAGCCUAACCGUAAGGAGGGCGCCGCCGAAGGUGGGAUUGAUGACUGGGGUGAAGUCGUAACAAGGUACC
rnacentral:rRNA from 1 species